AGGGGCAUAGCUCAGUUGGUAGAGCGGCGGUCUCCAAAACCGCAGGUCGUCGGUUCGAGCCCGGCUGCCCCUG
rnacentral:tRNA from 1 species